GAUGAACGCUGGCGGCGUGCCUAAUACAUGCAAGUCGAGCGAAUGGAUUAAGAGCUUGCUCUUAUGAAGUUAGCGGCGGACGGGUGAGUAACACGUGGGUAACCUGCCCAUAAGACUGGGAUAACUCCGGGAAACCGGGGCUAAUACCGGAUAACAUUUUGAACCGCAUGGUUCGAAAUUGAAAGGCGGCUUCGGCUGUCCCUUAUGGAUGGACCCGCGUCGCAUUAGCUAGCUGGUGAAGUAACGGCUCACCAAGGCAACGAUGCCUAGCCGACCUGAGAGGGUGAUCGGCCACACUGGGACUGAGACACGGCCCAGACUCCUACGGGAGGCAGCAGUAGGGAAUCUUCCGCAAUGGACGAAAGUCUGACGGAGCAACGCCGCGUGAGUGAUGAAGGCUUUCGGGUCGUAAAACUCUGUUGUUAGGGAAGAACAAGUGCUAGUUGAAUAAGCUGGCACCUUGGCGGUACCUAACCAGAAAGCCACGGCUAACUACGUGCCAGCAGCCGCAGUAA
rnacentral:rRNA from 1 species